GAUGAACGCUGGCGGCGUGCCUAAUACAUGCAAGUCGAGCGAAUGGAUUAAGAGCUUGCUCUUAUGAAGCUAGCGGCGGACGGGUGAGUAACACGUGGGUAACCUGCCCAUAGGACUGGGAUAACUCCGGGAAACCGGGGCUAAUACCGGAUAACAUUUUGAACCGCAUGGUUCGAAAUUGAAAGGCGGCUUCGGCUGUCACUUAUGGAUGGACCCGCGUCGCAUUAGCUAGUUGGUGAGGUAACGGCUCACCAAGGCAACGAUGCGUAGCCGACCUGAGAGGGUGAUCGGCCACACUGGGACUGAGACACGGCCCAGAGUCCUACGGGAGGCAGCAGUAGGGAAUCUUCCGCAAUGGACGAAAGUCUGACGGAGCAACGCCGCGUGAGUGAUGAAGGCUUUCGGGUCGUAAAACUCUGUUGUUAGGGAAGAACAAGUGCUAGUUGAAUAAGCUGGCACCUUGACGGUACCUAACCAGAAAGCCACGGCUAACUACGUGCCAGCCGCCGCAGUAA
rnacentral:rRNA from 1 species